rnacentral:sRNA from 1 species
UUAAUGAAAAUCAUCUAAAUAUGUAAGUUUUUCAGAAAUACCCGUAUCGAAAGUGACCUUUAAUUUAACCGUCCCGACAUCAAGCCUUACCCAAAUUAGUAAGAAUUUGAAUAAUAAA